UAAUGUAGGAGAUUGUGAAGCUGUAAGGAGCUAACCUGCUGAUCAACCUGGCAAGAAGUCCGGAAGGGUUCUUAAAAUUGCGAAGCCACUGCAAGGCUGCAUGAUCCGUUUUGACUUCGAAAGGGGCACCAGCAAGGGCUGCUCCCAGUCCUGUAAGACUUGCAUCCGAGUAGAAGACAAAAGGACCUUUGGAGAUAUCUGGUACACCCAGAAAUGGAGCUGAACUGAGAAGUUUCUUGACGGUUUGAAAACUCUUCUCACAGUCACUGGUCCAGGCGAACUCAACAUCUUUAUGAAGUAACUUGUACAAAUGAGCUGCUUCAGUUGCCAUGUUAGUGCCUAUUCCCUCUUUUGAAAGCAUGUGGCCUAGGUACUCACAAUUGUCUUGGAAGAUGAAGCAUUUCUUGGCUUUCAAGAAGAAACCUGAAGCACGCACACGAUUGAAGAGAGCUUCUAGUCUGAGAAGCAUAGAUGGAAAGUCAUCACCUGCGAUACAAAUAACAAAUAUCGUCAAGGUAGACAGCACUGUGUGGACCAACAUCAUUCUCAGGAGUUGGAUUUCUUGGUUGUCUCAUCAAUCGGUCCGUAACUUGUUGGAAAAUGCCAGGAGCUGCAGACAAACCGAAACCGAGUCUUGUCCACUCAAAAUGUCGAGCUGGUAGGCCUAGAUCUUCAGGCAAGAUGACUGCAGUUUUGGGAAUGUCUUUCUCAUCAAUUACAAGGUUAUGGUAGCCAUGCGCUAAGUCAAAGGAGUGAUAAAUCUUGUGACCAGCUACUUUCUGAGUACACAUAAAAUGGGAGAUGCCCACGCUGAGUUACUCGGGCGAACAGCUCCACAUUCUAUGUACUUCAUGAAAGUUUCAAAGACUGCUUUACGGUAAUGAAGAGGGAUUGGUCUUGCUUGCAUCUUGAUGGGAGGAUGGUCUCCUGUGUCCAUGGUAAACUUAACCCACGGACAGCAACCAAACGUUGUGUUGUCUGGCGCAAAGAC